rnacentral:lncRNA from 1 species
CAGCUCUCUUCAGUAUGCCCCGCCUCCCAGGAGCUGAGAAGUGUGUUUUACUGGGCAGACAAUGGCACUCUUGAGAUGUUCAUAGAGGUUGUUGUCUAAUCUAGGCUUGUUUCAUUUCAUCUGCUGACAUAACUCUUACAUAGAACAAGAGAGGAGUGUGCAACACAACACAGGAAAUGCACCCGUUCAUUCUACCAGCAUCCAGGGCGGAGCGCUACUCUCUGGAUGAUGCAAUUGGGGAACACCAGAUGACUAAAGCAUGGUUGCAUAGGGCAGAUGUGAAAACAGAUAAUUAAAAUAACACAGCCAAGUGCUGAAUAAGGUUUGUACUGAUGGCUGAGGGAACACAAAGAGGAUAUAAUUCUUUGCCAGAGGGAGUCAAGGGCUUAGACAAACUGGGUGAUGCCCACCCACCUUGAAGAGAGUCAUCUGCUCUGCUCUCCCCAUUGACUCAAAUGGUGAUCUCCUCCAGAAGUACCAUCAGAGACACAUCCAAAUAAUUUUGGUAUCUUUAGUGUCUCUCUGGGUAUUCUUCAUCCCAGUCAAAUUGACAAUAAAAUGAACCAUCAUACUAAGAGCGUGGAAACAUCAAAGAGAGCCGCAGUUGAGAGCAAUGGAACCUCAGAGUGGAUACAUUCAUUGACUGGGUCCCUCUUUAAUUUGCACCAGUCUCCAAAGAUUCAUCACAGAAAUCAUUGUGGAAACUAUACCACCAAGAGUUUAUCAUUUGAUUUUUUUUUAUAACUUUUCAACAUCACAUUUGGUUUAUACCUUUCAUUUGGUUGGUUUUUCUGUGUUUUAGAAGCAGGUUGAGUUAAAAUGGAAGAAUGAUGGCUGUGGCAAUGUAUAGUGAUUUCAAUGUACCCAGGAGUCAUGUUGGCAAGUGACAUGAAAAGUAGAUACCUUGCUCUACAAUUAAGCCCAGUACAAGCAAUUUCAUUUCCACAAAACAUCACCACACACAUGAAGUGGAUGUUGUCAGGUUCAAUGUUUUCUUGUUUGCAUUUAACUGGUAAAUAUUUUCCUGAUGGUGUAAUGGAUAUGAGUGUGUGGAAUGUACAGCUCUCUUCUGUGCUUGUAUAUAACACUGUAAUAAAAAAUAAUUUAAAGUCCAG